rnacentral:rRNA from 1 species
UACGGAGGAUCCAAGCGUUAUCCGGAUUUAUUGGGUUUAAAGGGUGCGUAGGCGGGCCCUUAAGUCAGUGGUGAAAGUUUGCAGCUUAACUGUAAAAUUGCCAUUGAAACUGAGGGUCUUGAGUGUAAAUAAGGUAGGCGGAAUGUGUUGUGUAGCGGUGAAAUGCUUAGAUAUAACACAGAACACCAAUUGCGAAGGCAGCUUACUGGGAUACAACUGACGCUGAGGCACGAAAGCGUGGGGAUCAAACAGGAUUAGAUACCCUGGUAGUCCACGCAGUAAACGAUGAAUACUAGCUGUAUGCGAUAUACUGUAUGUGGCACAGCGAAAGCGUUAAGUAUUCCACCUGGGGAGUACGUUCGCAAGAAUGAA